rnacentral:rRNA from 7 species
UUUGUGAUUCAUGACUGGGGUGAAGUCGUAACAAGGUAACCGUAGGGGAACCUGCGGUUGGAUCACCUCCUUACCUUAAAGAAGC